CUGGGGCAUGCGUACCUGAAGGGUUGUCGCCCGCCCCAUUCCCCACUCCCUCACCUCCCCACCCUCGGCCCCUCCCUGCUCCCCUCCCCUCUGACUCGCUGGCUAGGACUUCGCUCGGACUCCCCCUGGCGGAUUGGCUAAGGCCGAGCUGCCCUAGUGAUGUCAUCACCCAUUUGCACACACAGUCGGAUGUAUCUUUCUGAGACAGCACCUGCAUCGUGACCCCACAACCUUCAAUGGCUCCACAUCCCAUGGAUGGGAGGAACACAGCCCAGAGCCAGCCUAAAAUCCAAUUCCUACCUUCGUCCCGGCCUUCAGGUUGAAUUGUAAUGUAUUAUCUUUUAGUUGCUACUAACCCUGAGCCAUUCCGCAAGACUGGAAAAUAAUAAGCAAUAAAAAUAUGCAAUUCAUCACUA